AGCCAGGUCCCGCGCAACAGGACUGCGCCCAACCCCGUCAGGUCCGGAAGGAAGCAGCGGUAAGCGCUUGGACUGUGUGCCGCGGGUUCGCCUGGCUUGU
rnacentral:SRP_RNA from 1 species